rnacentral:lncRNA from 1 species
UACGAUUUUUAGAUAUUAUCUCAUAAAUGCUUAUAUGUUACUAAAACAAACAUACAUACUAAAGGAAUCUAACUUGCAAAGUACAAAUCUAGCUUAAAUGGUUUAAGGUGACGAGUUGUAAAGUUUAAUCUUUUGCCAAAUCAAAUAAGUCUUUGUUUUUCGGUAGCUUCACAAUUAUCCUACCACUUCUCGUAAUCUUGAUUUUUUUUAUUUGUAAAUUUAUAUAUUUUUUAUUGUUCUUAACGAAAGGUGCAUGAUGAAUAGUUUCCUCUGAAGUAAAGCAAUCAACUGAUGAUUAUCUACCAAUUGCUUCCGUUUACUGGCUGAAAUUGGUCUCGUUUGUUGUUCUUUUCUUUUUUUUUUCAUAUCCUGUUUCCAGAGCCUUUUAUAACAUACCAUACCAUGCCAUAGUAGUUUGCUCAUUGUUGAAGGCCACGCGUUGACCUCUAUAGUUUGUUUUAUUUUUGUCUGUUGGUUUUUGGUGGAUAGUCAUCUUCACAUCUCAUCAAAUUAUACUGUUGUGUGACAUUGUUAUCAGCAGGAUUACAUGUAGGUACACACUUUACUAAUAUAUGGCAAACAUAUAUCAAACACAAUUUUACAAUUGUCGAUCGCCCACAAGACUAGACGGACACCGAAUUUUAUAAUAAUCUAUCGUUAAUAC